rnacentral:rRNA from 1 species
ACAGGUGGUGGCAUGGUUGUCGUCAGCUCGUGUCGUGAGAUGUGGUUAAGUCCCGCAACGAGCGCAACCCUACGUUUAGUUGCUAACGCGUGAAGGCGAGCACUCUAGACGAACUGCCGUUGACAAAACGGAGGAAGGUGGGGAUGACGUCAAAUCAUCAUGCCCCUUAUGUUCUGGGCUACACACGUGCUACAAUGGCCGGUACAGACGGACGCAAAGCCGCGAGGCGGAGCAAAUCCGAAAAAGCCGGUCUCAGUUCGGAUUGCAGGCUGCAAUUCGCCUGCAUGAAGCCGGAAUCGCUAGUAAUCGCAGGUCAGCAUACUGCGGUGAAUACGUUCCCGGGCCUU